rnacentral:lncRNA from 1 species
GUUACGCUCAGAAUUUCAGUUUUGCGAUCUGUCAAUUUCCAUAAAAAAAAAAAAAAAAAAAAAUUGUUCCCAGGGUACUGUUCAUCCGCGGGAAAAAAAAAAAAAAAAAAAAUCUGAGUUGUUAUGUUACUGCUGCUACUUCCUGCAAACCCUAAUCCAUACACAUAAUCAAUUAUUAAUCCAAACAGCCCAUUAUAACACCCAGUCAAAUAUUCUAGUCUCCAAAUCAUUUAACCCGUUACUCAGACUCAAUCUACAUCCACAUGUUCAUAAGUAGCCCAAGUCCUAGAGGUCAUUAUCCACAUCUCAUAUUCAGCCCAAUAAGGCCAUUACAUCAACCCAAUUAUCCAAUCUGGCCAAUAACCCAAUCCUCAGCCCAUUUAUCACAUAUUUAGCCCAACUAACCCAGCCUACUCUCUACGACCCAGGCCCACUCUCCAAACACUAACCCAAACUGGCCCAUCUCUAUAACAGGAUCUAAACCCCUUCCCAUCUGGCCCAGUCCCAAAUAUCUGACCAAGCCCGAUUAUAACCAAUCAAUUAAUAUCAAAUACCUCACAGUUUCACCCGAUUCCUCUCUCACAACCACUCUCUUGCUGCCAUCGCCUCUAAUCACCAUCACGCUACCACUUCAUUAUCUAUUGUACCAAGGCAUCUAGAACACUACCGCUUCAUCGCCAUAGGCCACCACCACCAACCCAAGAUCAUACACUUCCACCACAGUUACCACACUCAUAUAUUUCCUCGUCCAUCUCAACAAUCUAAAAGCCACAGUCACCACACUCAGUUUUACGUUCACACCAGAGCCAACACAAGUUACAGUCAACAGAGGUUAAAACCAUUGGACACGAAGGGAAGAACAGAAGCAUAGUUGGGGUUUAUAAGUUGGCAAUUCAAAUCAAGCGGCAUACAAAUAAUCAAAACUAAACUACAGGGAGUUGCUAUCUCCUAAUUCUCAUUGGUUUAUACUGCUGUUUUAUUUUAAAAGUGCAUCACUUAGAUUCUUUGUGUUGUUGUUACUAUCACAACUUUGGCCUCAAACUUCACUUGACUGGAAUCACUCAUUGAAUUGACUUGCCAUUGUUGCCCCAUUUAUCUCACUGAAUUGAUGUGCCAUUGUUACCUCUUUUAUCUACCUGAUUGAAAAUCUUGACAAUACCAUUUGAUCUUAACAAGCAUUGGACCCUUGCUUUAUUAUUUACAAGUAUCAGCACUAUUAACUUGCAUUUUUGGAAGGGAAGAAGAGAGAGAGAGAGAGAA